CCUGACGAUCCUCCACCUCUCCGGAUGCGUAUCCUCCAGAUGGUGCUGGAGCUGGAGCUGGAGCUGGUGGUGGUGGUGG
ensembl:ncRNA Y50E8A.21 ncRNA